UCUGCCCUGUUGCUGUCGCGCAGCUGCUGGUUGCUGUCCCUGUCUUGCUCUGUCCCCCAGGCUUGAGUGCAGUGGCAUGAUCUUAGCUCACUGCAACCUCGGCCUUCUGGGUUCAAGUGAUUCUCCUGCCUCAGCCUCCCGAGUAGCUGGAAUUACAGGCGCCUGCCAUCACGCCUGGGACCCCUACCAUGGAAGAGACCAUCGAAGAUCCCCCCACAUCAGCUGUCUUGCUGGAUCACUGUCAUUUCUCUCAGGUCAUCUUUAGCAGUGUGGAGAAGUUCUACAUCCCUGGAGGGGACGUCACAUGUCAUUAUACCUUCACCCAGCAUUUCAUCCCUCGUCGAAAGGAUUGGAUUGGCAUCUUUAGAGCUGGAGUGCAAUGGCACGAUUCGGCUCACUGCAACCUCCACCUCCCGGGUUCAAGCAGUUCUCCUGCCUCAGCAUCCCGAGUAGCUGAGAUUA
rnacentral:sRNA from 1 species